AUGAGCAGCCAUCAAUGAAAUUUAAUGGAGAAGGUGGCGAUGCGUCAAAGUAAGCUGGUCCACUUCCUGUUGCGCACAGGAAACUCGCCUCUUAGCAGACGCGGAUAGGAUAAAAUUACCAAGACCGAGUAAAAGAAAGGAAACCAUCCACAAAUCAAGCAAAAGUUCUUAUUUUUACAAACUCUGUCGAGUUUUUUCUCAGCUUCUGUCUCCGAUCUAUAUAAAGAGAGAAUUCUGUUCUCAGAACAGCCUACUCCGCCCUCGUUCGUCCGCUCGCUGUCACUGUAAGUCGGAGUUACUAUUAAAGAAAGGAGGAGGAAGAGAAGAUGUAUCCGCCGGGCGCCCAGGAGAUGUCUUACUUCGACCACGUGCAGCGUCGGCAUGAGGAAAAGGGCUGCCUUUAUGCUUGCUUGUUUUGUCUGUGUUGCUGCUUCUGCUGUUAUGAGACCUGUGAGUGCUGCCUUGAUUGCCUUUGCUGCUGCUGUUCCGAGUAGAAUUCAGCAGAAGAAACAGGGGAAAAUGGCCGCAGAGCCUUACCUUCUUCAGAAUAAUGCUUGCAGUUUAUUAAACUUUACAUGACAGUUUUUGUUUAGAACUUUUGGUUAUGUUCUUAAUUAGCUUAUUGGAGGGAUUAAUUCACUUUAAUUGUCCUCCAUCUUUUAUUUGUUGCCAUCUUUAAUAAGAAAACUAGUUGUUUUUGCUACCA